AGCAGCCGCGGUAAUUCCAGCUCCAAUAGCGUAUAUUAAAGUUGUUGCAGUUAAAAAGCUCGUAGUUGAAUUUCGGGAUCGAUACGUCGGUCGUGCCUUCGGUACGUACUGUCGUCAUCGAUUUCUCCCUUCUGACGAACCAUGAUGUCAUUAAUUUGGUGUUAUGGGAAAUCAGGACUGUUACUUUGAAAAAAUUGAGUGUUUAAAGCAAGCUAACGCUUGAAUACAUUAGCAUGGAAUAAUGAAAUAGGACGUUCGAUCCUAUUUUGUUGGUUUCUAGGAUUGACGUAAUGAUUAAUAGGGAUAGUUGGGGGCAUUAGUAUUCAAUUGUCAGAGGUGAAAUUCUUGGAUUUAUUGAAGACUAACUACUGCGAAAGCAUUUGCCAAGGAUGUUUUCAUUAA
rnacentral:rRNA from 1 species